rnacentral:lncRNA from 1 species
UCUCAUGAAGCAAAUGGUAUCAGUCUCAUAGUAGUUGCGAAUUGCUUUAUUCGGUAUAGAGAGGCUCAAAGCAGAGGAAGCUAAAGCUAGGUUUGGACACAUUGGUUGAAGAUCACCUCACAUUGUUUGAACGUCAAGCAAAACAGUAAGUAAUUUAUCCCUUUGUAUGUAGCUGCUUUAGACAAUUAAAAUUUACUGUAACUAACUUGGUCAAUGCAAAAUUUCACAACGAUGAAGAUGCCAAUUGGUGCUAUGAAAACAGAGAGAUGAAAUCUGCAGACAAUGAUAAGAGAGCAGCUAGUUCAGAGAUAAUGUCAAAGUUCACAACCUAAAGAUGUGCAGCACUCAUUUAAACUACUACAUCAACAUAAGGUAAGGCCAUGCUUGUCGGUUAUUUCAUGCUAGUGGCUUACAUAGAACGCACUAGUCAUUACUUGACAACCAAGUAUGUCAAGACUUGUUGUAUCGUUGGACAAGAGAAGCAAUCCAAAUCAAGGUAUUAGCAUGUUCGUAAUACUCGUCAUCUUUUAAUUUGAUUUGGAGAAUUCAUAAAUUUGUGUGGUAUUAUAAAAUAAAGAUUGACAUCUCUGAUUCUCAUGGGUUAGUUUGGAACAUACAGGUGUAACUGCUCCCUCUUGUCUGUGGUUUCAAAUUUCAGAACAACCACCAAGUCGCUUCCAGAUUCUCAAGACAUCACAUCCUUGCAGGUAUAUACUAUACUUUCUUACUUUCUUACCUUUUUCUUUUUAGUUAAAGAAUAAUCAUUCUGAUUUAAAGAUAUACAAAAGUAGAUUUUUUUAAAAUGUUUUUUCACUUCUAAUUUUUAUGAUUUAAAAAACUAAAUAUCAAAGUUUUUAUCAAAUAAUUUUCAAGUAAAUAGUUUUAAUUUUUAAUUUAACCAAAAUAUUUUUUUUUAUAUAUAAACUAAGUGUUAAAUUGAAAUACGUUGAAAACAAACCGGCCCUAGCAUCCAGUCCCUUUGGGGUCCGUCAGUUUGGUGUGAAAGUUCAACAUGUUUUCAUGUAUUGUAAAUUUAAUGCUUAGCAUGUUUUAAAGCUUUAUAUUAAGUAAACUGUUUAGGUUUUCGACUAAGUAACCUAACCUAGCAUCCAGUCCUUUGAAAGAAACGUAGUCCUCCAAAAAAAUAGGUCUUUGAGGUUUUUAUACCAACACGUAAAAUGAUCAUCAAAUUUUAGAACUGUUGCUUAGAAAUUACGGUUUUUUUUAGCAAAUGUAUAUUUUUCAAUUAAGUAUAUAUUAAAAUGAUAUAAUAUCUAAAUGUUGCUAUGGGUAUGCUUAAACUUGUUACCAAUUUUCAUUAUGCAACUAGUCUAAUGCGCAAUAGAACUUAGCUUUUGUUGGGAUAAGCUUGAAGAAGAAGACUUAGGAGACAAGUUACUUAUUCCUAGUUGAGUUAUGACUUAGGAAUUGGAUUGUGUUUAGGAGUUAUCUAGAUACAAUUCCUAUUAGAAUAAGGUUUAUCUCUUCUCUAUAUAUAUGAGUUAUCAAAGUUGUGAUAACCUUGUGAGAUUAGAGAGAGAUUAAGGGUUUUAGAAGCUUAAGUUUUGAGUUAUUUUCUUAAGCAAAUAAAGAGAGUUAUUCUUUAAAUUCUUGAAUUCUAAUCUUUCUUAAAGUCUAGAUUUGGUAUCAGAGCUUGACGAUCUUGGUUUUACACACACAAAUACUAAGAUCAUCAAACCAUGAGUGAGAUUGUUCCAACAAGCAACAAGAAGGAGGCUGUUCCCUCUUCUAUUCAAUGUCCAAUGCUAAACAGUACUAACUAUACUGCUUGGGCAAUGAAGAUGAGGUUGCUGUUGCGUGUUCAUAAGGUCUGGGAUACGAUUGAUCCUGGAUCCACUGAUAUUGAUAAAAACGACCUAGCUAGUGCCCUGAUCUUUCAAUCGGUUUCAGAAUCUCUUAUGCUGCAACUUGGACACUUAGACACCGCUAAGGCUGUAUGGGAUGCGAUCAAAACACGCAACCUUGGAGCAGAAAAAGUAAAAGAAGCACGACUUCAAACUCUUAUGGUUGAGUUUGAUCGAUUGACGAUGAAGGAGACAGACACCAUAGAUGACUUUGUUGGCAAGCUUUCUGAAAUUUCUUCCAAAGCAACAUCUCUUGGGGAAAGCAUUGAAGAAACCAAGAUUGUUAAGAAAUUUCUUAAAAGCUUACCAAUGCAGACGUACAUACAGAUUUCGGCCACCCUUGAACAAGUUUUGGAUCUCAAAACAACAUCUUUUGAGGAUAUAAUUGGGAGAAUCAAAACUUAUGAAGAACGAAUAAGUGCUGCAGAGGUAUCACAAGAGAAUCAAGGCAAGCUUAUGUAUGCAAACUCAGAGUCAUCAUCAUCCGGUCAUGAUCAAGAAGGAGGACAAGGCAGAGGUCGUGGUGGUUAUCGAGGCAGAGGACGAGGUCGAGGAAGGACAAAUUACCAACGUGAUACAUCCAAAGUCACGUGUUAUCGAUGCGACAAGUUAGGACACUAUGCGUCUAAUUGUCCGGAUCGCUUGCUCAAGCUAAUCAAAGCUCAAGAAGACCAAGAGAAAACAGAAGAUGAUACACAAGAAGCGGAAUCACUUAUGAUGCACGAAGUGGUUUUUCUCAAUGAGAAAAAUGUGAUUCCAAAAGAGCUUGAGGCAUCAUCGGACAAGGUGUGGUAUUUGGACAAUGGUGCGAGUAACCAUAUGUCGGGAAAUCAUACUUGGUUCAAAACAAUCGACACAACAAUCACGGGUAAAGUACGGUUUGGUGAUGAUUCUCGUGUCGAUAUCAAUUAAUGAUUUUUUAAAUUUUGUAAAAUACAAAACUUACUUUUGUGUAAGAAAGAAAAAUACAUGUGCUGAGAAUACAAAACAGUCGGUUCCUACUCAACUCAUAGAGGUAAUACAAAACUUACUUUUUGUAAAAACUUAAUUUCUAUUCAUAAGUUGCACUAACUGUAAAAACGUUAUUUUUCCUUAUAUGCUGAGAAUUGUGAAUCUAAAAAAUACAUUUUGGAUAGAAAGCCCGGUCCAAUAGAGGUUGAAGCUAAAAUUAUGUUGGAUAUAAAAAUAUGAUCAAUAGGGUUUAAUUGGUGACCAAGAAAAAAAAGAAGAUUAAUAGGGUUUUAUAUUCUGGCAAUUUGUCUCUGCGAUAUCUUCGGGAGUUUUAAAUUUCCAAUAGCUUACACCGGUAUUGUUAAGGUAUUGUUCAUCUUUAGGGGGAGUUAUUGGGAGAUGGAUUUUAAAAGAGUUUGUGGAUUUCAAAAGUUUAGAGAUUUUAAGAUUCUCAAAAAGAUUUGUUGAUUCUAAAAUAAUGUUUACCCAGAUUUUUAGAGUUUAAUAGAUUCUUCAUAUGAUAGACUCUACAAAUCCUUAUGAUAAUUGCAGUAUUUUGAAAGUUGUUUUUAAUGACUAAAUAUGUAAGGAAUCAUUAAACCAAUAACACCAGAAUUUGAUAGAAUUGGAAAAUCAAUAAAUACUCAACUUUUUGAAUAACAAAGGAUUUUAAAUAGAAUUACAAAAUAGAUACACCAAUAACAAGAGAUUUUAUUAAGAAUCUAAGAAUCUGUACACCAAUAACAAUAGAAUCUUAAACUCUAAAAAUCUUUAAAAGUCAUUCUCCCAAUAACCCCCCCUUAGAGUCUUCUAGGGUUUGGUCUCGUUCUAUAUCUGUGUACGUGGGUCGUCUCAGCAUGUUCUAGGGUUUUGUCUCGUUUCUAUGUGUGUAUGUGGCUGUGUUUCCUCUAAUGACCCAAUUUGUUUACUUGGCGCUUAAGACAAAUCCUUGGACUCUUAUGGUAUUCUAACUUAAUCCAUAGGUAUAAAGUUUCGUCUAUGGUCAUAAUGUAAUAGUAAGGUGAAGUCUUGGCUCUUGAAUUAAGUGUCACUAUAAAAUUUACAGUAACAUUUUUUGCGUUUCAAUGGUGUUUACCCAUUUGUAUUUACGGGCUCUGCUCCAUUCAUAUUGCUCUGUUUAGGAUUUUCCAUUUAAUAAAUUUUGAAUUGUAUUAUAAAAUUAUGAUUCGACCCGAUAUCAAACCCGACCCGACUACGACCCGUAUUCGAAAUUAUUGUCUUAUAUAUUAUCAAUUUAUCAUUCUAUCAUAUGUAGUUAUGUACGGUUCGGGAGAGUUCAAAUCAUUACCAGCUCUAACGGUAUAGUUUAUUACGUAUAAAGCAUGAUAUAAUCGCAUGUUUGAAUAUUUAAAUUUGUAAUCUUUUUACAAAUUAUAAUAACUGUACUGCUUAGAAAUUAUAUUUAGAAAAUUGAUCAAAUUUCUGAAAUUUUCCAAAUCAUCCAAAAUAUUUUUCUUAAAAUUAAGGUUCACAAAAAAAAAAGAAUAAAAAAAAAAUUAAACUUUACAAAGUUAUUGAAAGUUGGCUGUUCUGAACAUUAAAUAAAGAAAUAAUCUUUUGUUACCGUUGCCAUGAAGAAAAAAAAGGAAAUAAUUAACAGAAACGAAACCACUUAAUUACUUUCCUUUAAAAUAUAUUUAUUAAUCUGACCGUUGUGAGAGAUUAAUAUCAAAUUCCCUUUUUAUUUGAACUUCAUAAUUAAUUUGUUUCUCUCUCUCUCUCUCAACUCAACGCUUCUUUCUUCUUCUUCGUUCUUCCUUGAGAGAGAAAUCAAAACUCUUCUUCUUCAUCUUCUUCUUCAAAACCCUAAAUCCAUCAAUUUCUUUUGAAUUCCGAUGAUGAUGAUCCACCGGAAUCAUACUUAUACACACUCUGUAAAUUCCGAUGAUAAUGAUCCAAUCCAAGUGGAGAGACGUAUUGAAAUAAAAGCAACCCAAGGCGACGAUGAUCCGUGAGGAUAAGAUUGGAAAGUAAUUUUCGAUUAUCAUCGUUUUGUUUCGUUUAAUUGAUUGAAUGAGAGAUCAGAUCUGAUCUCCUCUGUUCUUCUUCUUCUUCUUCUUCAAUCUAAAAUCAAUAUCGAGAUUUCACAGGAUAUUGAAUCUAGGCCACGGAGACGAGCGAAUUCAAAAGUGAAGAGAGGAAUCGAAUCAAUCUGAGGUAUUCGUAAUAGUCCUCUGUCUUCUUUGGAUCUGAAUUUGUUAUCUAGACUUAUUAUUAGAGAAUAGAGAUGACGAUGAUGUUUAGUGUCUAGAGAAUGAAUACCUAAUUUGUAAAUUUGGUACAGAUCACAUAGUUUGUUGUGGAUGCUGAAACUUGUGAUAAGCGUAGGUAGUGAUUGGUUUGAUGCAUCACAUGACAACCUCGUAGAGUUGCAGAGCCAUGUUCGUGUGUGCUGAAAAAUUAUUGGGGAAGAAGAAGCUGGUUAAGCAUAUAUGGUCGUCUCAUUUAGAUUCUCUUCUUUAUUGUUUAUGUACAUGUGUCUAAUCAUAUGCUACUUAAUAUGACUAGGUACUUGACUGAUGCUAUGUUCCUGAGAGAAGCAAUGAAUCAAAGUGUUGAUAGUUUGAGUCCAUAGUCUCUGCUCACCGGAGAAGAGGUUUUACAGGCUUUAUACAGAGAAGAGUUUCAGUAAUGAUUGCAGCCGCAGACCUAUACUCAAAUAUUGAGAUCAAACCUUGCAAACACAGUUCUGACCUGGAUUUUAUGGAUGCUCCUGCUCCUGAAACGAGCCUUUGAAGUUUUAGAUUACUUGGGAGGACUGGAUGAUGUUGAAGGUAACUUGACAAAGACAUGUGAGAUAUUGAGUGAGUGAGUUAGUUCCCCUUGGAUCCACAGAUGGUGAAGAAGAUGCUCAUAGUCAUUCCUGGAUUCAACUGCUCAAAACAAGAUUCUCUAAGUUUCAGCCAUGCUCUUAGGUACGCCCUUACUUUUGUUUGGUAGUCUUAAACUUGCUACCAAUUUCCAUUCUUCAACUAGUCUAAUGUGCAUUAGCCUAAGUACUUAAAUGAUGCAUAUAUAUACUAGUUGCAGCUUCUCAGCUAUUCUCUCUCAUGAAGCAAAUGGUAUCAGUCUCAUAGUAGUUGCGAAUUGCUUUUUUCGGUAUAAAGAGGCUCAAAGCAGAGGAAGCUAAAGCUAGGUUUGGACACAUUGAUGGAAGAUCACCUCUCAUUGUUUGAACGUCAAGCAAAACAGUAAGUAAUUAUCCCUUUGUAUGUAGCUGCUUUAGACAAUUAAAAUCUACCGUAACUAACUUGGUCAAUGUAAAUUUCACAACGAUGGAGAUGCCAAUUGGUGCUAUGAAAACAGAGAGAGAUGAAAUCUGCAGACAAUGAUAAGAGAGCAGCUAGUUCAGAGAUAAUGUCAAAGUUCACAACCUGAAGAUGUGCAGCAUUCAUUUUACUACUACAUCGACGUAGGCACUAGUCAUUACUUGACAACCAAGUAUGUCAAGACUUAUAUCGUUGGACAAGAGAAGCAAUCCAAAUCAAGGUAUUAGCAGGUUUGUAAUACUCGUCAUCUUUUAAUUUGAUUUGGAGAAUUCAUAAAUUUGUGUGGUAUUAUAAAAUAAAGAUUGACAUCUCUGAUUCUCAUGGGUUAGUUUGGAACAUACAGGUGUAACUGCUCCCUCUUGUCUUUGGUUUCAAAUUUCAGAACAACCCAAGUCCAGAUUCUCAAGAC